AGUGAACGCUGGCGGCGUGCUUAACACAUGCAAGUCGAACGGGGCGCUUAUGAUGGAGAUUUCGGUCAACGGAUUAGGUUGCCUAGUGGCGGACGGGUGAGUAACGCGUGAGUAACCUGCCUUUCAGAGGGGGACAACAGUUGGAAACGACUGCUAAUACCGCAUAAUAUAUAUGGACCGCAUGAUCUGUAUAUCAAAGAUUUAUCGCUGAAAGAUGGACUCGCGUCUGAUUAGCUAGUUGGUGAGGUAACGGCCCACCAAGGCGACGAUCAGUAGCCGGACUGGGAGGUUGAACGGCCACAUUGGGACUGAGAUACGGCCCAGACUCCUACGGGAGGCAGCAGUGGGGAAUAUUGGGCAAUGGGCGCAAGCCUGACCCAGCAACGCCGCGUGAAGGAAGAAGGCUUUCGGGUUGUAAACUUCUUUUGUCAGGGAAGAUGAACAGACUGUACCUGACGAAUAAGCCACGGCUAACUACGUGCCAGCCGCCGCAGUAA
rnacentral:rRNA from 1 species